CGGCAUUUAUGUUUCGAAACUUUUCCGUUUAAUUCUCUGAUUUCACCCCAAUUUCGUGCAUACAGACAACUUUUGGAUGGGAUAUUCGUCAAAAAGUGGGCCGUCCAAGGGGCUGGCCAGGAUGAUGCUGGCAAGCUGCGACAGCGUGUACAACUUUUGGGGGAGAAACUGGAGCCAAGCAUAUCCGGCCGUGCUGUAGACCAUGAUCCGGUCCAUGUAUAGUUGACCAGAGGGACGCGUAAUGACGUUACGGAGAGGGAGCCGCAAGAUUGGGGCAAGAGACGGCGUGGUAACCAAGGACAGCACCAAAGGGAGAUGUAAGAAUGACAGAGUGAGGACACCUGUUUCAAGUUCAGGGGCGUUGCUGUCACCGAGGUUGUCCAAGAGACACCCGAUGCUACUGUUGAAAAAGACAAAGCGGUUUGUUUUGGCAUGGCUAAGUAUUGACUGACUAACUGUCAAAAAGUUGUGACUUAUUUUUUGCCUGUUGUCUGAGAAACAGUAAUGCCAGUCAUUGGACAUGUGACAGUGACAGCUUAAUUGCCAACACAGGAACAAAAAAUUGAUGUCGAGCGAAGGACAACGCAAAGUUGGCACCAUGUUGGAUUUAUGUACUGGCUGUACAAACUUCGCAAACGGCAAAAUAAGCCAGUGACAGUGAGGACCAGUCUGUGACAGGAUGCCUAAUCACAUAUCUUCAAGGUAGCUGCCUCUGCUAUAAUGAUAAUGAAAGGAUAAAUGCCGGCAGGAUGACUAAGUGACAGAAACUUUCAUGUGUAAUUGCCUUAAAGAUUUAUGAUCAUCCUAACAGUUUUAGCCUUCUGUUUCAGCAUGGUUUUAAGAUUGGAGGACAGGGAUGUUACAGAGGUCUGGAAAAACUAUUGCUAACUAGGAUGCACUCGCAUCUGGAACACCUGAUGUGAAGGAAGGCUGGGGACGCACCAGGAAAGAUAUUUUUUCUUUCUGGCAAUGUUGCCAGUGCCACAAAGAACAGAACUGAAGUUGCUUUCAGUUUAGAUAUAUGAAGUUGAAUUAUCAGAGGCUGUUCAAGAGAGUCUGCAGUCUGCACGCUACAGUAAAAGGACGAAGCAGCUUGGUUUGACCUGGGGAAAUAUCCGCUGACUAGGUGCUAACAUAAACACGAAAGAGGGCACUGUGUAAAGCAUGCAUUUUGAAAUGAUUCCUUUUGCCUGUGAUCUGAGCCUGUGUGAGACAAUGAUGCAGAUCAUAGAACUCGAUGAGACGGUGACAGCUGGUCGGGAAGAAGACUCGUCAAUGCAUGUUUAAAAAAACUCGGAAGAAAUUUGGCUGCAGUCGAGACUUUCUUGCAGUGAAAGGCUUGAGGUGUUACAAAUUCAAGCAUUCCAAUAGUUUAUGCAUGUUUAAAAAAACUCUGAAGAAAUUUGGCUGCAGUCAAGACUUCCUUGCAGUGAAAGGCUUGAGGUGUUACAAAUUCAAGCAUUCCAAUAGUUUGAGUUAUUUUUCUGUCUGCAUGGUUUCAAGGAAGAUGAGAUGGAGAGAUACAACAGAUAUGGAGAAACAUGUGUCUGUUACAUAAAGAUCUGUGGGUGUAUCCUGAAGAGGGAUUCAGUUGACUUUUGAAGGAGCAAAUAUUUGGCUCCUCCACUUGAUGACACAGACUGGAAAAGAGAAAAGCUUAUCGUCCUCGUAAUCAAGCCAAGAUCAGUCCACAUGCUGAGGGUUGCCACUCCAACACUACUGACAAGAUUUCACUGUGGCCAGCUGACUGCAGCAAAAUCUGACUGGAGAAAAUGAUGAAGGAAUCUACAAUGUCGUUGCAAGGACAAGCAAUCUGAGAAUACAAGCACCUCAACAGGAAAACCACUAGUAAUUGAAGCUGGUAGAGCGCCGUGACAUCUCUCGUAAGCAAGCUGGCUUAUGGACAAGGAUCACAUCAAACAAGUUCAAAUGUCUGGAACACAAUAGGGCCCCUUCCAUUCUGACUGGAAAAGACAUCUAUCAUCUAUGGUUUGUGUAUGAUCAAAUGUAUCCACAGUUUCUUUGCUGGGAUAAAUGGAAAGCAGUGGAAUUCAACGAUGGUGCAACAGCCUUUCCUGUCUAGCCAAGGACCUAAAUAGCUGAUGACAUCAUUCCGUCAUAUAUUGCAAUGUCCACAAUCAUUUUAUUGUCAUCUUUUAGUGGCUGUUGUUAAUUGAAAGUUUAAGAAUGAAUAAUAGAGCGUAUCUGAUAAGACCGGCCAUUUGGGAUCAAAAUCCCUGUCCCUGAUCGAGAGAGGCUCAAUCAUCAAUCGCGUGUAGACCACUUGGCUUUACAGCGUGCCUGGGUUAAACGUGGCCGUGCGAAACACCACAGUUAAAUGAGUGCAAGAGGAGAUCGUUGAAAUCACUGGACAGAAAACUGUGCUGAACAUCUUCUUCCAUUACUCACAUUCAGUCCUUAUCAUUAUUACAGCUUUGGUUCACCAGUUCACUCAGAUGAUUCAGAACAUGCAGGACAUUGUGAACAUUGAGAAUAUCAAGAAGAACUGAGUGGUGCCAAAAAUACCUGAAGAUUUACUUUUUCAGCAUAGAAUGACUUUGUAGGCCUAAAGGUUUAGAAGUUUAGAAGGUCUUUUCUGCCUCGCGGGCACAUCUGCAUACCAGUAAUUAUGUGCAGAUUCAUUUCUUGCUUUGAAGCAAUAUUGUGGCAAUGUUCAGGUCUUUUCUGUUGUAAGAUAAAUCCUGUUUGUAAUUUUAUAAAUUAGUUGCUCAUUAAGGGCUUACAAAGGUUUUGAUGCCUUGCUGGCAUAACUGCAUACCAGUAAAUAUGUGCAGAUUCAUUUCUUGCUUUGAAGCAAUAUUGUGGCAAUGUUCAGGUUUUUUCUGCCUCGCGGGCAAAUCUGCAUACCAGUGAUUAUGUGCAGACUUGGCUCUUCCUGAUAUUGUAGGACUGGGUCCAUUGAAUGUAACAAAAA